UGCAGAUUUAACUGCUUGCGUUAAUGAGGCCACCUGCAAGAGGAGAAACAGAGGGGGAGCUACAUGAGUCAGAGGGAGGCCUCAGAAGCUGGAAGCCCCGGCCAGGUGCCCGAACCUGAAAGUUUUGGGGUUGGGGUUUUCCCCCUCAGUCUCUGCAGAGUCCAGCCUGGACUGGAGGUUAAUUCCUGGCUCAGUCCCUCUACUCUGCUGUAACACUCUUCUUUAGUGAAAUUACACCAGUAGUGAGAAAAAGUUCUGCCAAUAUUUUAACUCAAAUCAUUUCUUGCCACCUCUAUAACCCUUGAUGAUUGCAUUGGGAUCUAUUCAGAAUAACCGUAAUUUAGUAAAUGCUAUGUUUGCCAUUCCUAAGUGUAGCAUUAUACAAACUUAGAUUAGAUAAUUCCCUGCCCAGUUAUGGGUGCCAACAGGCUGGUCAGAAAUUUUCAGAGGUGUUUUUUUUUUUUUUUUUCUUUUCUUUGUUUCUUUUUCACAUGCUGUAACUAAACUUGGCCAUUUUAACUGUAUAAGUAACAAACUGGUUGCUACUUUCAGGACAAAUUUGGUAAAUUCUUAGUUAUUACAUUAGUCUGAGAGAUCUUCUACUGCUGGCCUUUGGGAAAAGCAGACCUGGCAAUGGUGUGAAGCAGAGACCCCGAUAAGACCCUCAGCAAAAGUGCUCCUGAAAAAUAACUUCCAAAGAGAUUUCACAUGGGAGAUGCCACCAGGAGGUGGCUGAGGGGUGUUGCAGAGGUCAGCCUUAGAACUGAGGCUUGUUCCUUUCCUGAGCUCUCUUCUGAAAGAGACACAGCAGGAGUGGGGAAGGUGAGCCUCAGCAGCUUUAAAUGAGCUCUGUGGCACACCUGUGAGACUUCACCUUCAGCAGGUCCCAGCACAGGUGCUGCAAGAGGCGGUGUCCCAGCAUCACCAAGAGGGAAUGGAGGAGCUGUGGAUGUUUUUGUCCUCAACACAUGGGAUUGCCCUGGUACUUUCCUCCUUUGAUAAAAGCAGAGCCAACCCAGGGUGGUUUGCACACCCACCCAGCUGGGGACGGGAGACAUAGCAGCUCAGCCAAGCCCAACAGACUGAUAGCAGCAUGGAGGGAAAACUGCAUUUCUGAAAGUUGCUGCACCGAUCGUGGCAGUAGGAGAAGGGGAUGCUGGAGUGAAGCUAGCCAGGCUUUGUGUCACUGCUAUUAGUCAGGGUGUCUAAGUAGAGACAAGCUUCUGCAGGAAAUCUAUUUUAAAGACAAUGCUUUGAAUGGAGUCACAAGAAAAAAAGAAAAGUUGAAAAGUAAGAUUGCAGAGAGCUCAUCCUCUGCUGCGACAUCCUGCUGUCCUGAUAAAUGGAGCUCAAAGUGACCAUUUUGUUCAUUUUCCCUCUGCUAUUGCUCAUGUAAACAAACCUCUUAUAUGAACUCUGAACAUGCUCACAUGAAAAUAUGCAGAAAAGGUGAUUUUGCAUGGUGGGGGAACUGGAUAAAAUAAAGGAAGACAGGGAAGUAUUUGUAAGAUGUUCCCAUGUGGCUUCUUCCAUGCCACAACCCAGGGAGAAGAGGUGCAGGGGUGGCACCAUGCCACCAGCUGUCUCCUUGGCAGGUCCUGCAUGCUGCAUGUAGGCAAAGCAAUGCAUGUACAAAAAAAUGUACAUACACAAAAGAUGUGUGACGCCUCAAAAUCCAUGGCCU
rnacentral:lncRNA from 1 species